rnacentral:rRNA from 1 species
GACAGAGGCCUCGAGCGUUAGGCGGAAUCACGGGGCUUAAAGCGUGUGUAGGCGGGCCCGUAAGUGUCUUGUGAAAUCCCACGGCUCAACCGUGGAACUGCUGGGCAUACUGCGGGUCUUGGGCCAACUAGGGGCAGCCGGAACAAGCGGUGGAGCGGUGAAAUGCGUAGAUAUCGCUUGGAACGCCGAAGGUGAAAACAGGCUGCUGGGGUUGCGCCGACGCUGAGACACGAAAGCCAGGGGAGCAAACGGG